UUCCAAAUGUGCCUAACCCAUGGAGAUUUACCGGGUUCUACGGUCACCUAGAAAGAUCAAAGAUGCGAGAUUCGUGGCAGCUUCUCCGCGAUCUUUCUACUCGCAGCAGUCUCCCCUGGGCUAUUAUGGGCGAUUUCAACGACAUCAGAUGCCCAACCGAGAAGAUAGGCCGUCAUCCUCAACCACGUUGGCUUAUGGAAGGCUUCAACUCCGCGAUUGAUAGUACAGGUCUUUCUGAUCUUCAUAUUUACGGCUAUACGUUUACUUGGGAUAGAGGCAGAGGCACCCCAAACUGGGUCCAAGAAUGUCUUGAUAGGGUUCUGGUAUCGCAACAAUAGAUGGAUCUUUUCGACAAAGCAGUGGCCGAAUCUUCGAUUACCCCAGUUAGCAAUCAUCUGCCAAUUUUCCUAAAUCCAAUUCCUUCUGUGAGGUCUAAAAGAAGAUCUAAAUUUAGAUUUGAAAAUUUAUGGAUCAAGGAAGCCAAUUGUAGAACUCUCGUCACAGAGUUUUGGGUUGCUUCAAGAGGCGCUAAUUUAAUCUCAAGACUUGACUCGUGUAGCAAAGCGCUCUAGGACUGGGGAAAAAACUUACCACCGAAUUCCAGCCAAGGAUUGACCGAUGCCUUAAGUAGAUGGACACUCUUAGAAAUCGUUUGGACCAAUCUGGUUUGCUUGCUUUCUCUAAUGCCCAAUGAAGGUGCAUCCAUCAACAGAACACAUACUGGAAACAACGAGCGAAGGCCUUUUGGCACAUGCACGGGGACAUAAAUUCAAGUUUCUUUCACAAAUCAGUCUCAAAGAGAAGAAGGCACAUUGUGAUUAAUAAGCUCAGAAAUUCGGCUGGUAUUUGGUGCAAAAAGGUCCAGAGUUAAACGAGUAUGGCCAUUAUAUGUUCUUGGGAUAGAACCUAAGUUCGGUUUCCCAAAUUGUGUUUUUGUUGCCGAAGUCCUGCUACUGAAUGGCUUUGUUGGAAGCGUUAUUGCAGACUAUUUAUGUGCAUUGUCUGUAAUUUGGACAACUCCGCUAGUAGCAACUCUAGGCAUAUCCUUGACCAUACCUCUGGCUAUGUUAGCAGACAUGGUAGUCCACAGGCACCACUAUUCUCCAGUGUACAUUCUAGGAUGCAUUCAGGUUUUUGCUGGAUUUGUUAUGGCUAACCUUCAUAACAAGACUUCCACUGAAGGUUAAUAUUUGAGCUAGAAAAAACCGAUUGAACCCCUUGUGUGUAGUGUGUACUGGAGGAUCUAAAAAUGACUGAUAAAAUUUAUUGUGAGUUUUUGUAUUUGGAACAAAUGGAAGAAACUAGUGUCAACCGGGUCAUUAUUGUUUUCACCAUAUUUUGGAUUAUUAUU